AGGAUGAACGCUGGCGGCGUGCCUAAAACAUGCAAGUCGUGCGGUAACAGGUCUAGUUUACUAGAUGCUGACGAGCGGCGGACGGCUGAGUAACGCGUGGGAAUCUGCCCCGAAGUGGGGGAUAACUGCUCGAAAGAGUAGCUAAUACCGCAUAUGGUCUACGGAUUAAAGAAGCAAUUCGCUUCGGGAGGAGCCCGCGUAAGAUUAGAUAGUUGGUGAGGUAAUGGCUCACCAAGUCGACGAUCUUUAACUGGUUUGAGAGGAUGAUCAGUCAGACUGGAACUGAGACACGGUCCAGACUCCUACGGGAGGCAGCAGUUAGGAAUAUUCCACAAUGGGGGCAACCCUGAUGGAGCAACGCCGCGUGGAGGAUGAAGGCCCUAGGGUCGUAAACUUCUUUUCUAUGCGAAGAAUAUAGACGUAACAUAAGGAAUAAGGGUCUGCUAACUACGUGCCAGCAGCCGC
rnacentral:rRNA from 1 species